rnacentral:rRNA from 1 species
UGGAACCGGAUGAGAAACCGAAGUAUCUGGUGCGUAUUCAAUCGCUCGCGACGGCAAUCGUUUGUUCAGCAUUCCGCAAGGUUGUUGAGCGGGCGUUCGUUUGUCGGCGUGGACGAUGCACUUGCGUACGGAGUGCGCCGAGUGGGUUGACGGUGUCGUCGGAGGCGCGUUUAGAGGACUUGGCGUGGCAACACAUCGAGAACCCUGAACGUGCGGAAGGCGAGUGCCGUUGGCUUGUUGCUUGUGGGA